AUGGGCCAACAUAAUAAAAUAGGAGGCGUUACUUCUGUAGCAACUGUAGUACUUCUGUAGUACUUCUGUACUUCUAUUAUGUUUCAGAAGACUUCAGUUGCAUGUGCUACUGUUGUCAAUAACAUGUUUUUUUCUGUAGCCUGAGCAACAGCAAGGAAACUGAAUUUGGCUAGAAACCAAACUGAAGAGGAGUACAUUCAUUCCUGGGGUGACUCCACUGACCUCACUAGAGCUCAGAGAGUUCAGGCCAGCCUUGACCUGUUUUUCUGCAAAUUGUGUGGCUGGGGAAAUGCUGUUCCAUCCAUCUUUGUUCAAAGUAAUAACAAGAGAACUCAGAAAGGUUCAGGGAAGGGUGACAAACAUGACUAGAGCAGAAGAAAGCUCUCCUAUCAAGGGAGAUUGAUAAGGCUGAAGAUGUUUCUCUUAGAAAUGAGACAAAUAAAAAAGGAGACAUUAAAAAAAAAGGAAACAAAAUAAUAAAUAGUCUAGGAGGACUCAUCCACACACCCUUUGUGAUCUGCUAAAGGGCCUCUAGUGGUCCAUGGCAGUGCAAUCAAAUUAAGGCCCUGCUACCUGUCUCCUCUCUCCUCUCUGGCUGGCUGCACUGCUGGGCUCUCUGCUUGAGUCUCUUUUAACUGUUGACUGAAGACUGAAAACUGACAAAGACUGAAAACCAGUACAGUACUAUAGGGAAGGUGAGGCAGCCACUGUUCACAUUUCCCACUCAUGAAAGGGGUACUCAUAGAAAGUGAAGACUCACUUAUUCCAAGCUAGCAGAAAGGGAGAUGCUUUUCUGCAUUAUAUCCAAAUGCUAAUGAGGCCAGACAACAAAUGACAUUUGAAGAGAUUGUGCUUAGCAGCAAGACUUUCACUGGGUUAUAAGAGCUGCUAAGGGUUUGCUAGCACAUUUACAGCAGCUUACAGCAACAGAGACUUAAUGUGACACACUAAUUAUGCCACUCCUGCUUAAUGCAGGGGAUCUCAUGGUACCUAAUGGGCGAGGAUGGGCAGAUGGGAAGGAGCACGGCCACAUCUCUGUCUGUGCUAGCACUGGUGCCAUGUUGCCACCUUGAUCUCUACCCAGUAAUUUCUUUUUCAAUAGAGCAAUAGUUCUUACCUUGAAUUCAAAACCAGCAAUGCUCUGUCUAGAAGAGAAACUUGUGCAAAUAAUUUCAUUUCAGAGAGUGGACUAUGUUUUUAAAAGGGGUCUUCCUGUUGCUCUUCUGAACCCCACCCUUAGUUACAUCUCUGCACAAGCCAUUCCUACAGCUAGGAAGACCACUUGCAUUUUAUUUUUGUUUUUAUUAUUUAGGGAUUAAUGUAACACCGAAGUCUUCAAACUUGAAAGACAAAGAUGAGCAGGCUAAAAUACAUUAUAUUUUGGGCUGUUCUAGCAGUUUGUUGCUUCCACUGAAUGAAGAAGCACUUUGCACCAUGCCAUUCCUACUGCUGGUAUUUGCCUUGGGCUCUACUGAGCUGAUGUGGUCACACUGCAGUCAGAAACAUGACAAAAAAACAAGAACAGUCAGCUGCUUGGAUGGUGAACUGAGCCAACUGACUGUCACUGCAGCAAGAGACAAUUGGGUUCCACUUUUAGAUACAAGACACUCAGCUGAGGUUCUUUUUCUUUCUUCCUCCUCCUACCCUCCUUCCCCCCCCUCCACUCUUUGAUGUAAUUAAAAAUAUCAUUCAUAUAUUUCAACAAUGGCUUUGCUAAGCAGGCAGGUGAUAAAGACAAUGUGAGAUGCAGCUUUCCCAACUGAAACAAGUCCCAUUUCUCUUUUUUGAAUAUGUAUUAGUCCCAAAGGAGUAUCAGCAGCCUGGAGCAGGUUGGCUGUACCAGCUGGCUGGGGCACUGGCUACAGUUCCUUUGCCAGUGUUUUAGUAUUAUGCAGGCCACUUCUAUUUGGCUAGGAGAUUUGAUCAUAGCUUCACUGAUAUAGAAGGAAGACAACGGCGCAAGCAGAGAGAGCAAAUUGGCAUCCUUGGGAAAGGCCAGGAUUGGGUAUCGUGCCUCAGUCACAACAGGAAGCCAGCUGCACAAGCAGAACCCUCAGCACGCAACACCUGAACCGAGCACCAUGUGUUCCUACCCAGUGGUCAGCAUGAGGAACACCAUCUUGCGGGCAAUGAAACUGUUGGAGGAGAUCUGGAGAGAGAAACCAGCUGCAAAAUAGAUGCUGGAGUGGUUUUAUGGGAUGGCCUUCUGCUCCUCAUCUUCUCAGAGGUCUGCAGAAUAAAAGUAAUCUGCUUUUAGACUGUGAAAAAUUGUCUCAAGUCAGCUUGAAGGAAGAAGACAGAAACCACCAUCUUUCUAUUUUAAGAGAUUUUCACAACUGGAGACUCAUAAUCAGCACCUCAGCAUAUGGACGCAAAGGUUAAGCUACAAAGAUACCCACACUGCUAACAGCAAGGAGGGUCAGCCAGGCUCCACACCUGCACUAUCAGCCCACCUCUGGAAAUGAGCCUGGCCCAAGUAAAAUAAGGAAGACAAGUGUAACAGUAUGCAUUCAUAUUCCAUUAAUAUCCAUUGAAGUUUGCCUUUUCAUGCUAAUAGGCUUUUAAUGAUUUUGCAUAGGAGAAUGCCCUGUUUAAGGAAAGAGAAGACAACUAAAAAGUUAAAAUAUAGGGAAAAUAAUUUAAUGUAACUGUGUAGCAUGCCAUUGAAAUUUAUAAUGUAACUUGCACUGCCUCUGUUAUGAAAUGCUCUUAUCCUUAUUCUGUUCAGUACAGUUUAGCACUCAACUGAAAGAUUGCUAAUAACUGCUCCUCUUUAACAUGCUCACUAACAGCACUAUUUUGCAGCCCAUUUUCAGCGCACACUUCAAUUUAGAAAUGGACUCUGCUGCUGACUGCCAGCUGAUUUCCCUUCAACAUACAGGCAGUGCUAAACUUCACUAAGGCUGUCUUCACAUGGAGCUGUAGGGAUGAAGAGACGUAUAUCUGUGUAUCUUGACUUCAUUACAGCAGCAGCUAGCAUGAAACCAAA